GUUGUGGUGGCCGAGCGGUUAAGGCGUUGGACUUACGUUCCAAUGGACAUUGGUCCUCGUGGGUUCAAAUCCCACCCGCACUA
rnacentral:tRNA from 1 species